GACGAACGCUGGCGGCGUGCUUAACACAUGCAAGUCGAACGGAAAGGCCCUGCUUUUGUGGGGUGCUCGAGUGGCGAACGGGUGAGUAACACGUGAGUAACCUGCCCUUGACUUUGGGAUAACUUCAGGAAACUGGGGCUAAUACCGGAUAGGAGCUCCUGCUGCAUGGUGGGGGUUGGAAAGUUUCGGCGGUUGGGGAUGGACUCGCGGCUUAUCAGCUUGUUGGGGGGGAGGGGCUUACCAAGGCUUUGACGGGUAGCCGGCCUGAGAGGGUGAACGGCCACAUUGGGACUGAGAUACGGCGCAGACUCCUACGGGAGGCAGCAGUGGGGAAUAUUGCACAAUGGGCGGAAGCCUGAUGCAGCAACGCCGCGUGCGGGAUGACGGCUUUCGGGUUGUAAACCGCUUUCGCCUGUGACGAAGCGUGAGUGACGGUAAUGGGUAAAGAAGCACCGGCUAACUACGUG
rnacentral:rRNA from 1 species